GAUUUUAUUUUAAUGGGACUAAAGGUUUAGCUAUAAAUAAGCACUAAUGGUAGAAUAUUAGGCAGUUGAGCGAUGUUUGGAGGAGCCACGAGAGGCAGCCAGGUCCAAGCACACUCAGAAAUGACACCACUUUUUACAGUUAGUUCCCUCUGUGCCUGUGAUUAAGACAUAACUCCCUACAGAAGUCCAAGUACAGAGCUGUGCCCCUACCCUCAGAUCCAUUCUGUCAUACACCCAAAAAGAACCAUACCCCGCGGUCUUCCCAAGGCAGAGCAAACGUAGGUCCCAGCUCACAGUGCUGGGGAGGGUGUAAGGGACCCUGGCUGUCUCUGCUGUGACCUGUGAGUCCGGGCCAUUGCUGAAACUUCCCUGGGCCUCCGUUUCUCACUGUGAACUCUGGGGCCGUAAUAAAGCCCUUGACAAUCCCCUAUUCCUCUCCUAACUUGACCCCCUUUCCUCAGUCUUGGUGUUUGUUUCCGCUGCCUAUUCAUACACGCUUUAAGAAGUUCAUUACCUUGCUUUCCCAGCUGGAUGUCUUUCUAGCCUUGUGUUCCUCUUUUUCGCUUUUGAUCCUUAUACACUGUGAGUCUGCUUCAUUUCUACAUGUACCUUUAUAAACACACAGAUAUGUCCUUGCCUGUUAGAGAUGCUGAACAAACGGUUGUAGGAUGAAUGAAUAUAUGAAACAAAUUGUCUCCUACAUUCAUAUAUACAUUCCUUCAAUAUUCAGCAGAUAUCUAAUAUAUAGAGAAAUGCCAACUUUUCCCUCUACACUCUAAAAUCAUUCUUCCUCCUUUUGUCACCUUUCCCCUUUUCCCACCGUAUCUUUUCUCCUUUCCCUGAGCCAUAAAGUUAGACUGAGUGCUCAGCAAGACAGGAUGCAGAGACACAGAAGCAGGCCAAUGGAAACAGACACCACGGAAGGGAGCCAGAUGAAAUAAGGGCAAAGGCAGCUGUACAACAUGCAGAGAGAAACCAACCAGAAUGAAAAGCAGUGAUUCAUGGAGCACUGCCACUCGGAUACUCCUUGGGUUUCGCUCUGAGAGCUACUGCGAGAUUGAGGUCAGUGAGGGCUGGCAUGGAGAUGAAGGGCAGACAGGCUCCUCCCUGGAGAUGCACUGCUCGUCAAUCCCUCCCCUUAAUCCUGUUCUACCCACCCCACCCCCACGACUCCCUCACACUGACCAGUGUCCUGGGCCUUUAAGGGUUGGAUGGGCUGGACUGAGGAAAGAACUCACACCUCUCCCCACCCCACUCCUUCCAUCUGGCUGUAAGUCAGCCAGCGACAGCAGCAAACUGCAGCAGAAGAGGAGAGGAAGCCAGCGAGUGCAAGAAGAGCAAAGGAGCCCCGCUGGAUUUCCUUGCCCCACGGCGGAGAGCAUCCCAGAGCUCAGACGUAGGACGGCUAUCCUGCCCACGGUGACUCUGGCAUCAGCUGGUGAAGCACUGGGUGAUGGCGUAUCUGCUGCAAGGCCGGCUGCCUGUCAAUCAAGAUCUGCUGCUGAUGCAGAAAGGCACACUGAUGCGCAAGGUGAGGUCCAAAAGCUGGAAGAAGCUAAGAUUCUUCAGACUUCAGGACGAUGGCAUGACAGUCUGGCAUGCCCGGCAGGCCGGAGGCAGGGCCAAGCCCAGCUUCUCAAUCUCCGACGUGGACACAGUACGUGAGGGCCACGAGUCUGAGUUGCUGCGCAACCUGGCAGAGGAAUUCCCCCUGGAGCAGGGCUUCACCAUCGUCUUCCACGGCCGCCGCUCCAACCUGGACCUGGUGGCCAACAGUGUCCAGGAAGCCCAGACCUGGAUGCACGGGCUCCAGCUAUUGGUGGGCUUUGUCACCAACAUGGACCAACAGGAGAGGCUGGACCAAUGGCUGAGUGAUUGGUUCCAGCGUGGAGACAAAAACCAGGAUGGCCGGAUGAGUUUCGGAGAGGUCCAACGGCUACUGCACCUGAUGAAUGUGGAAAUGGACCAGGAAUAUGCCUUUCAGCUUUUCCAGACAGCAGACACAUCCCAGUCUGGGACUCUGGAGGGAGAAGAAUUUGUAGAGUUCUAUAAGUCAUUGACUCAGCGUCCAGAGGUGCAGGAACUGUUUGAAAAGUUUUCAUCUGAUGGACAGAAACUGACCCUGUUGGAAUUUGUGGAUUUCCUCCAAGAGGAGCAGAAGGAAGGAGAACGGGCUUCUGAUCUUGCUCUGGAACUCAUUGACCGCUAUGAGCCUUCAGAAAGUGGCAAAUUGCGGCAUGUGCUGAGCUUGGACGGCUUCCUCGGCUACCUCUGCUCGAAGGACGGAGACAUCUUCAAUCCAACCUGCCACUCCCUCUACCAGGACAUGACUCAACCCCUGAACCACUACUACAUCAACUCCUCCCACAACACCUACCUGGUGGGGGACCAGCUUUGCGGCCAGAGCAGCGUGGAGGGAUACAUACGGGCCCUGAAGCGGGGGUGCCGCUGUGUGGAGGUGGAUAUAUGGGAUGGACCAAGCGGGGAACCUAUUGUUUACCACGGACACACCCUGACCUCCCGCAUCCCAUUCAAAGAUGUUGUGGCCGCUAUAGGACAGUAUGCCUUCCAGACGUCAGACUAUCCAGUCAUCUUGUCGCUGGAGAACCACUGCAGCUGGGAGCAGCAGGAAAUCAUAGUGCGCCAUCUGACGGAGAUCCUGGGGGAUCAGCUACUGAUGACAGCCUUGGAUGGGCAGCCUCCUACUCAGCUGCCCUCCCCUGAGGACCUUCGGAGGAAGAUCCUUGUGAAGGGGAAGAAGCUAAUGCUUGAGGAAGAGGAGGAAGAGCCAGAGGCUGAACUGGAGGCGGAGCAGGAGGCUAAGCUGGACUUGGAGGCCCAGCUGGAGUCUGAGCCCCAGGAGCUGAGCCCUCGCAAUGAGGACAAAAAGAAGAAACCCAAGGCCAUCUUGUGUCCAGCCCUCUCUGCCCUGGUUGUCUACUUGAAGGCUGUCACCUUCUACAGCUUCACUCACUCGAGGGAGCACUACCACUUCUAUGAAACAUCAUCUUUCUCUGAAACCAAGGCCAAGAGCCUCAUCAAGGAGGCUGGCGAUGAGUUUGUGCAGCACAAUACCUGGCAGUUAAGCAGAGUAUAUCCCAGUGGCCUGAGGACGGAUUCAUCCAACUACAACCCCCAGGAAUUCUGGAAUGCAGGCUGCCAGAUGGUGGCUAUGAACAUGCAGACAGCUGGGCUGGAGAUGGACCUGUGUGAUGGGCUCUUCCGCCAGAACGCUGGCUGUGGCUAUGUGCUGAAGCCAGACUUCCUGCGCGAUGCCCAGAGUUCCUUCCACCCUGAGAGGCCCAUCAGCCCUUUCAAAGCCCAGACCCUCAUAAUCCAGGGUGUGAGAGCUGGAGGGGGGCUGGGCUGAGCAGGAACUAGUGAGGUUCCAGAGCCCUGGUUGCAGGUAAUCAGUGGUCAGCAACUCCCCAAAGUGGACAACACCAAAGAACAGUCCAUUGUGGACCCCUUGGUGAGAGUGGAGAUCUUUGGCGUCCGCCCAGACACAACCCGGCAAGAGACCAGCUACGUGGAGAACAAUGGUUUUAAUCCAUACUGGGGGCAGACACUGUGCUUUCGGAUCCUGGUACCUGAACUGGCCCUGCUGCGUUUUGUGGUCAAAGACUAUGACUGGAAAUCCCGAAACGAUUUCAUUGGUCAGUACACCCUGCCGUGGAGCUGCAUGCAGCAAGGUUACCGCCACAUACACCUGCUCUCCAAGGAUGGCCUCAGCCUUCACCCAGCUUCCAUCUUCGUGCACAUCUGCACACAGGAAGUGCUAGAGGAGGCUGAAUCUUAAGGCAGCCACUUCACAGGCGGAGUGGAUUCACUGGCUGUAGAUGGUGAGAAAAAUGAAAAAAACCUGGAAGGAUGCUCCAGAAAGCAAACAGUGGUAAAAACCCGAGCUUUGGACUGUGCCGUCUCAGGCACAAAAUGACUUGGUCCUUCCUGACAAGCAAAUGUAGGACCCAACUUUUCACCUUCUUUCUCUUCCCUUUCUUCAUUUUCACAAGUCUCCGGCAUCAUUCCUGUCCUUUCCCUCUGCAGACUCUACACUGGAAUUCCUUCCUUCCUCUGGCUAUAGGCUCAACACCAUACCCAGAUCUAGGACAGUCCUUUCCCACCAACUCUGGCUCAAAGGCACAUUGCAGCUAGAAAUCCAGAGUGGGGCUUGGGGGCAGAGAAACCCAAAACCCAAACCUCCACCCCUAGCUUCCUCAAAGUCCAGAGCCAAGGGAAAGACAAAUCGAGCCUCAAGUCUCCCCAGGCAAAGGCUGGGGAAGGAGAUCUGAUCCCCUGUAUUAUGACUCUCAACAGAACACUGCAUGGCCCAGAGAGUCCCCACUGGACUCCUGCUCACUUGUGCCACCGGUAUAAAUAGAGCUUCUCUCUCAAAUUGG